GUAUAUUACUUGUUAAGAAUUAUAUUUGUUAAGUUGAAUGAGAAAAAUAAUUUAAAAAAAAUGAUUUGAGUAUUUUUUAAAGAAAUUUUAAUAUAACAAUAGUUUAUUAGUAUUGUAAGAGAAAGUUUAAUUUAGUAUUAUUAUAAUUUAAAGUAGAAAUUAAAAUUUGUACCUUGGGUAUUAGGGAUAAUUAAAAUUUAUUAAUGAGUUUAUAAAUCCCGAAAAAAAAAUAGUUAAUUUUAUAAAAUAGUUACUGUAGUAAAAGUAUUGUUAAUAUAAUAUUAAAGGUGAAAAGUUAGGCGGGUUUUUAUAUCUGGUUUUUUAAGAAAUGAAUUGAAUUAGUUAUAUAUAUUUAAAGUAUAUAUGUAAUAAGAGUAGGAGGGUAGAGCUUCUUAUUUAAUUUUUUUAAACUAUAAAUUAAUUUUUUUAUUUAUUUAAACUAAGCUUGAUAGUAGCUAUGUUUUUAAAGUUUUAAAACUAAUGUUUGUUAGUUCUAUUAUUUAUUUAAUUUUAGGUUAGUAUUGAAAUAAUAAUUUAAAUUAUAUUUGUUAAGUGAAAAUGAUUAUAUAAGUAUAAUUUGGUUUUAAAUUUUAAAUUAAAAUAAUUAGUAAAUUUUAUUUAUGGUUUGGUAUGAAAAAGGAACUCGACAUACUUAUUUAUUGCCUGUUUAUCAAAAACAUGUCUGUUUGAUAGUUAUAAAUGGUCUAACCUGCCCACUGAAAUAAAUUUAAAGGGCCGCGGUAAUUUAACCGUGCAAAGGUAGCAUAAUAAUUAGUCUUUUAAUUGGAGGCUUGAAUGAAUGGUUGAACAAAUAAAUGAUUGUCUCUUUUUUAAAAUUUGAAUUUAACUUUUAAGUGAGAAGGCUUAAAUGGUUCAGGGGGACGAUAAGACCCUAUAAAUCUUUAUGUAAAUGUUUAUUUUUUGUUGAUAAGUUGUUUAAUAUUUUAAAGUGAAUAAUAUAUUGUAUUGGGGUGAUAGGAGUAUAAAUAGUGUAACUGCUUGUUUUUAAAUACUUAUAAUGUUUGUUUAUUUUUAAUGAUCCUUUUUAAGAUUUUAAGAUUAAGUUACUUUAGGGAUAACAGCGUAAUUUUUUUUAAGAGUUCUUAUCGAAAAAAAAGUUUGCGACCUCGAUGUUGAAUUAAAAUUUCUUUAUAGUGUAGCCGUUAUAAGAGAAGGUCUGUUCGACCUUUAAUAUUUUACAUGAUUUGAGUUCAGACCGGCGCGAGCCAGGUUGGUUUCUAUCUCUUGAAAUUUGUUAACCUAUUUUAGUACGAAAGGAUUAAAUAGUUUAAAUAGUUUUUAUAAAUAGAUUAUUUU
rnacentral:rRNA from 1 species